GGAAUCUAUAGCUCAGUGGCAGAACACCUGCUUGGCAUGCAGAAGGUCUGUGGUUCAAUCCCCAGGGGUGUCUCCU